UACGUAGGGGGCUAGCGUUGUUCGGAAUUACUGGGCGUAAAGGGCGCGUAGGCGGUCCUUCAAGUCAGGCGUGAAAGCCCCGGGCUCAACCUGGGAACCGCGCUUGAGACUGGCGGGCUAGAGUUCGGGAGAGGGAUGCAGAAUUCCCGGUGUAGUGGUGAAAUGCGUAGAUAUCGGGAGGAACACCAGUGGCGAAGGCGACUACCUGGCCUGUUCUUGACGCUGAGGCGCGAAAGCUAGGGGAGCAAACGGG
rnacentral:rRNA from 1 species